rnacentral:rRNA from 1 species
GAUGAACGCUGGCGGCGUGCCUAAUACAUGCAAGUCGAGCGAACGGACGAGAAGCUUGCUUCUCUGAUGUUAGCGGCGGACGGGUGAGUAACACGUGGAUAACCUACCUAUAAGACUGGGAUAACUUCGGGAAACCGGAUCUAAUACCGGAUAAUAUUUUGAACCGCAUGGUUCAAAAGUGAAAGACGGUCUUGCUGUCACUAAUAGAUGGAUCCGCGCUGCAUUAGCUAGUUGGUAAGGUAACGGCUUACCAAGGCAACGAUGCAUAGCCGACCUGAGAGGGUGAUCGGCCACACUGGAACUGAGACACGGUCCAGACUCCUGCGGGAGGCAGCAGUAGGGAAUCUUCCGCAAUGGGCGAAAGCCUGACAGAGCAACGCCGCGUGAGUGAUGAAGGUCUUCGGAUCGUAAAGCUCUGUUAUUAGGGAAGAACAUAUGUGUAAGUAACUGUGCACAUCUUGACGGUACCUAAUCAGAAAGCCACGGCUAACUACGUG